GACGAACGCUGGCGGCGUGCUUAACACAUGCAAGUCGAACGGAAAGGCCUUUUCGGAGGUACUCAAGUGGCGAACGGGUGAGUAACACGUGGGUGAUCUGCCCUGCACUCUGGGAUAAGCCUGGGAAACUGGGUCUAAUACCGGAUAGGACCGCACUUUAGUGUGUGUGGUGGAAAGUUUUUUCGGUGUAGGGUGAGCCCGCGGCCUAUCAGCUUGUUGGUGGGGUAAUGGCCUACCAAGGCGGCGACGGGUAGCCGGACUGAGAGGUUGGUCGGCCACAUGGGGACGGAGAUACGGCCCAGACUCCGACGGGAGGAAGCAGUGGGGAAUAUUGCACAAUGGGCGCAAGCCUGAUGCAGCGACGCCGCGUGGGGGAUGACGGCCUUCGGGUUGUAAGCUACUUUCGCCAGGGACGAAGCGUUUUGUGACGGUACCUGGAGAAGAAGCACCGGCUAACUACGUG
rnacentral:rRNA from 1 species